UAGCAUUUUAUUUUAAACUACCCUCUG
rnacentral:tRNA from 1 species